rnacentral:rRNA from 1 species
GUUUGAUCCUGGCUCAGGAUGAACGCUGGCGGCGUGCCUAAUACAUGCAAGUCGAACGAGGUGCUUUUGUAGCAAUACGAGAGUAUCCUAGUGGCGAACGGGUGAGUAACGCGUUGGUGACCUACCCCAAAGUGUGGGAUAACAGUCCGAAAGGAUUGCUAAUACCGCAUGUGGUCCUCGGGUUUAGAAACCGGUGACUAAAGGAGCAAUUCGCUUUGGGAGGGACCUGCGUCCCAUCAGCUAGUUGGUGAGGUAACGGCUCACCAAGGCGACGACGGGUAGGGGACCUGAGAGGGUGGCCCCCCACAAUGGAACUGAAACACGGUCCAUACACCUACGGGUGGCAGCAGUAGGGAAUAUUGCACAAUGGGCGAAAGCCUGAUGCAGCAACGCCGCGUGCACGAUGAAGGCCUUCGGGUCGUAAAGUGCUUUUCUACGAGAUGAGAAAGGACAGUAUCGUAGGAAUAAGUCUCGGCUAACUACGUGCCAGCAGCCGCGGUAAAACGUAGGAGGCGAGCGUUAUCCGGAUUCACUGGGCGUAAAGCGCGUGCAGGUGGUUCGGUAAGUUGGGCGUGAAAUCUCCCGGCUCAACUGGGAGAGGUCGUCCAAUACUACCGAACUUGAGAGCAGAAGAGGAAGAUGGAAUUCCCGGUGUAGGGGUGAAAUCCGUUGAUAUCGUGGGGAACAUCGAAUGCGAAGGCAGCACACUGGGACAUUCCUGACACUGAGGCACGAAAGCGUGGGUAGCGAAAAGGAUUAGAUACCCUUGUAGUCCACGCCCUAAACAAUGUUCUCUGGCUAUGAGGAGUAUCGACCCUCUUCGUGGCGAAGCUAACGCGUUAAGAGAACCGCCUGGGUAGUACGGUCGCAAGACUAAAAC